rfam:Desulfovibrio sp. JC271 contig9, whole genome shotgun sequence.
AAACUGGAGAGUUUGAUUCUGGCUCAGAUUGAACGCUGGCGGCGUGCCUAACACAUGCAAGUCGAACGCGAAAGUCUCUUCGGAGAUGAGUAGAGUGGCGCACGGGUGAGUAACGCGUGGAUUAUCUACCUACUGGUACGGGACAACAGUUGGAAACGACUGCUAAUACCGUAUACGCUGGUAACGGGAAAGGGGGCCUCUUCUUGAAAGCUCUCGCCAGUAGAUGAGUCCGCGUUUCAUUAGCUAGACGGUGGGGUAACGGCCUACCGUGGCAACGAUGAAUAGCAGGCCUGAGAGGGUGGCCUGCCACACUGGGACUGGAACACGGCCCAGACUCCUACGGGAGGCAGCA